CAGCAGCCACGGGAACACCAGCAGCCCAAGUGGUGGUCGCGUUUAUUGGGCCUAAAGCGCUCGUAGCCUGACCGGUAAGUUCCCCGUGAAAUCGGGUCGCCCAACGAUUCGGCUUGCGGGGAAUACUGUCGGUCUUGGGGCCGGGAGACGCCGAGGGUACUCCGGGGGUAGCGGUGAAAUGCUGUAAUCCUCGGUGGACUACCAGUGGCGAAGGCGCUCGGCGAUAACGGGCCUGACGGUGAGGGGCGAAAGCUGGGGGCGCGAACGGGAUUAGAUACCCGCGUAGUCCCUGUCUCUUAUA
rnacentral:rRNA from 1 species